rnacentral:rRNA from 1 species
GACGAACGCUGGCGGCGUGCUUAACACAUGCAAGUCGAACGGAAAGGCCCUGCUUUUGUGGGGUGCUCGAGUGACGAACGGGUGAGUAACACGUGAGUAACCUGCCCUUGACUUUGGGAUAACUUCAGGAAACUGGGGCUAAUACCGGAUAGGAGCUCCUGCUGCAUGGUGGGGGUUGGAAAGUUUCGGCGGUUGGGGAUGGACUCGCGGCUUAUCAGCUUGUUGGUGGGGUAGUGGCUUACCAAGGCUUUGACGGGUAGCCGGCCUGAGAGGGUGACCGGCCACAUUGGGACUGAGAUACGGCCCAGACUCCUACGGGAGGCAGCAGUGGGGAAUAUUGCACAAUGGGCGGAAGCCUGAUGCAGCAACGCCGCGUGCGGGAUGACGGCCUUCGGGUUGUAAACCGAUUUCGCCUGUGACGAAGCGUGAGUGACGGUAAUGGGUCAAGAAGCACCGACUAACUACGUG